GCCUGUAGCUCAGUUGGUUAGAGCAGAGCGCUCAUAACGCUUUGGUCGUAGGUUCGAGUCCUACCGGG
rnacentral:tRNA from 1 species